UACGUAGGGCGCAAGCGUUUGUCCGGAAUUAUUGGGCGUAAAGAGCUUGUAGGCGGUUUGUCGCGUCUGCCGUGAAAUUUCGAGGCUCAACCUCGAACUUGCGGUGGGUACGGGCAGACUAGAGUGUGGUAGGGGAGAUUGGAAUUCCUGGUGUAGCGGUGGAAUGCGCAGAUAUCAGGAGGAACACCGAUGGCGAAGGCAGAUCUCUGGGCCGUAACUGACGCUGAGGAGCGAAAGCAUGGGGAGCGAACAGG
rnacentral:rRNA from 1 species